rnacentral:rRNA from 1 species
AGAACGAACGCUGGCGGCAGGCUUAACACAUGCAAGUCGAACGCUCGUAGCAAUACGGGAGUGGCAGACGGGUGAGUAACGCGUGGGAACAUACCCUCCGGUUCGGAAUAGCUCAGGGAAACUUGGAUUAAUACCGGAUACGGCCGAGAGGCGAAAGAUUUAUCGCCGGAGGAUUGGCCCGCGUUCGAUUAGCUAGUUGGUGAGGUAAUGGCCCACCAAGGCGACGAUCAGUAGCUGGUCUGAGAGGAUGAUCAGCCACAUUGGGACUGAGACACGGCCCAAACUCCUACGGGAGGCAGCAGUGGGGAAUAUUGGACAAUGGGCGCAAGCCUGAUCCAGCCAUGCCGCGUGAGUGAUGACGGCCUUAGGGUUGUAAAGCUCUUUCGCUAGGGACGAUAAUGACGGUACCUAGACAAGAAGCCCCGGCUAACUUCGUGCCAGCAGCCGC